GAUGAAGAACGUAGCGAAAUGCGAUAAGUAAUGUGAAUUGCAGAAUUCAGUGAAUCAUCGAAUCUUUGAACGCACAUUGCGCCCUCUGGUAUUCCGGGGGGCAUGCCUGUUCGAGCGUCAUUACAACCCUCAAGCUUUGCUUGGUAUUGGACAUUGCCAGUUUCUGGCAGGUCUUAAAAUCAGUGGCGGUGCCAUUUGGCUUCAAGCGUAGUAAUUCUUCUCGCUUUGGAGAUCCAAGUGGUUACUUGCCAAUAACCCCCAAUUUUUUCAGGUUGACCUCGGAUCAGGUAGGGAUACCCGCUGAACUUAAGCAUAUCAUAAGCGGAGGA
rnacentral:misc_RNA from 1 species